rnacentral:lncRNA from 1 species
AAUAAUAUGAGCUAGGACAUUUGUCCACCUUAUUUUGCAAUGCAUAAGUAAGUUUUUCAUAGGUAAAUAACAAUAACUUAGAAAGUGCAGUUUUAUUUACACUAAAAACCAGUGUGUAAUAUGAUAAUAAAUAAAGAUAAUAGCCUUUGAUAAGAAAUACCAGUUUGCAAUAUCAAGCAGUAAAGGGGGCUGUUUUUGUACAGCUAAUACAACUGGAACUGAAUGACACUGGAAUUUUUGCACAUGCAAUUUACAAAUGGCCGCAAUUGCUCUAAUAUUAAUACAUAUAGCCUCGUUUUCAUUUAACUCAAUAUGGCGUCUUAAACGAAUAAGGUCUAUAGUCAUACCAGUAUAAAUAUUGUUAAGUACACAUUUUGAUGUAAUUAUCUUACAGUCUGAGGGGGGUAUUUGCAACAGUAACAGUACCACAAUAUUAAAAGUAGAACAGGCUUGUCGCUGUAAAAGCGCUGGUGGUCGGAGUCCCCCUCGGUAGGGUCCCUGUGGUGAGGCAGUGCUUGAUCGCUGAAGGAAUACUGAGAGUGAGUGAGCGAGCGCCCUCGCGGAGUUACAAACUGGAUGGAGCCAACUGAAGUACAUACUUUAGUUAUAUUAAGUGGAUUUUGACAGCGGAUCUCUGGCUUCAGUCUGACGACGUUUCCCACUGGAUCUUAUAGCGUGCCCACUGGGGAAAAUAAAUCAUUAUUUGCAAGAAACAUAGCUGGCAUGCGCUAAUAUGGAAACCAAACCAUUCUUGUCUCUAGCUAUAAGGAGGAUGGCUGGAAUUCUGCAGCUAUUUUAAAAGCCUUUCUUAGUUCAGACUGCUUCACUCUCCAUCCAUCGCAACAUCUCCGUGUCUCUUCCUGGCAGCAUCUCAUGAAAGGUUAUGGAUCAGACCUUUUGUUCCAGCAUACUAUCUUGACUAUUUCAACUGCAUUGCCAAAUAAGUUAUCCUCGUUUUGACAGGAUAUGACACAGCACAAUCUAAAAACUGCCUUAGGUUGUCAUUACUACAUUUUAUCCCAGUGUUAGAGUCUUUAAAAAAUAUAUAAUAGCACAUAUGUGGCAAUAUUCAAAUCCAGCCAUUGAUCUUUAGCGCAAACAUCUUAGUAUUCAGA